rnacentral:tRNA from 1 species
GCCGAGGUAGCUCAGUCGGUAGAGCACGCGACUGAAAAUCGCGGUGUCGCCAGUUCGAUCCUGGCCCUCGGCACCA